rnacentral:rRNA from 1 species
UACGGGGGGGGCAAGCGUUGUUCGGAAUUACUGGGCGUAAAGGGCUCGUAGGUGGCCAACUAAGUCAGACGUGAAAUCCCUCGGCUUAACCGGGGAACUGCGUCUGAUACUGGAUGGCUUGAGGUUGGGAGAGGGAUGCGGAAUUCCAGGUGUAGCGGUGAAAUGCGUAGAUAUUCGCAAGAACACCAGUGGCGAAGGCGGCUCACUGGCCCGAUACUGACGCUGAGGCACGAAAGCGUGGGGAGCAAACAGG